GCCUACGCGUGGGAUUAAAUUGACUCUAGUAGGGAGUCCUUUUAUACGAGCGACUCCCUAACGGAGUCAGAUUGAUUCCGGUAGUGCACCUGUCGACA
rnacentral:pre_miRNA from 4 species